AGAAUCAACGCUGGCGGCGUGCCUAACACAUGCAAGUCGAACGAGAAAGUGGAGCAAUCCAUGAGUAAAGUGGCGACCGGGUGAGUAACACGUGACUAACCUACCCUGAAGUGGGGAAUAACUCCGGGAAACCGGGGCUAAUACCGCAUAACAUCGUCGCUUCUAAAGAAGUGACGAUCAAAGCAGCAAUGCGCUAUGGGAGGGGGUCGCGGCUGAUUAGCUAGUUGGCGGGUAAUGGCCCACAAGGCGAAGAUCGGUA
rnacentral:rRNA from 1 species